rnacentral:lncRNA from 1 species
UAGUGUACUAGUGUUAGUGUACAGUACGCCAUUGUCACGCGUAAUUUUGGUGGCGUCACGGCAAGAGCGACGGUCAACUCCACUGAAGAAUUUUGCACUUUAUCGGGUUUCGGUUCAUCAUUCAACUAUUCGAGUGAAAGUGGGCAAAAUUUUAACGAACUAUCUGCCGUCCCCAAACUAUUUCCAUUGUAUCUCGACGAUUGACAACGAUGGACAGCAAGAAUGAAAUCGUUAGAGCCAGUACAUUGAGUGGCAAAAGUUGGAUGACAGAUGUAACGGCUUCCAAGGAUUUCGUCAAGUUAUUGCUCAGCAUAUGGAACUACAAUCGAAGGACUAUCUAACGGAUGCAGGUACGUUUGCCUGUAGAAAAAAGGGUUCUUUUUCUCAACGGGAGAAUCGGGGAUAAUCUAAGGAACAGCCACGCCGCUGAUCAGAACGCGUCCUGGUGGCUCUCGCACCGCCAUAACACCACUCAUCAGCGGUUGGGUGGGGGGGGGGGGGGUGAAGUGCGGCAACAGUGUAACGCGCAAAACAGAUUUUGAGGUUAGCGUCUACUGUAUGGUACCGUAAAUUAACAAUGGCGUCGCGGCAAGAGCGGCGUUCACCUCCACUGUAGAAUUUUGCACCGUAUCGAAUUGUUGCUCACCAUUCGACUAUUCGAUGCUUGAGAACUUUUUAGGAUAAAAACUUCACUGGUAUCGUGUAUGGUGAGCAAAAAUUAGAAACAGUGCAGCGUUUUACAGUGAAGGUGGGUGGUUUUUACCGAACCUUCUGCUGGACUCAAAUAAUUUCCACUGACUGUCGACAUUCGCUUGAAAUGGAAGGCGAAGAGGGCAGCGUUGGCAAGAACAGUGAAUCAGGAGCAACGGUCCUUACCAUGUUGGCUUAACUAUGGUCAUCACAUAAAUCGGAGCUUGGAAGCUGCUCCGGCGACGGGUUCUAACCGUUAACUGACGAUUGGUGGUUUUUACGGACCCGCGAAUGAUUUUCAUUUUAUCUCGACGAUUGACAACAGUGGACAGGACGACAUCGUUAGAUGAAGUACAUUGAGCGACGAUGGUAGGAGCUUGGAAGACAGACGCGCCGGCUUCAAAUGAUUUCGUCGCGUGAUUGCUUGGCACAUGGCAAUACUUUCAAGACAAUCGAACAAUUUUCUAACGGAUGCAGGUACGUUUGCCGCGGCAAGCGUGGUUCUUUUCUCAUCGAGAACUUUGGUGAUAAACGAAGGAACAGCUAGACCACACCGCUGAUCGGAGCGGGUCUCGGUGGCUCCUCUCACCCCCAACGAGUCACUAGUCAUGUGUGCUUGAUGGCGGGAUGAGGUGCGACUAGAGUCUACUGCCGAAUUUCGACAUCUGAUGCCAGUUUCUAGGCUACCGUUUCGUAAAAUACUGGUAGCGUCGCGGCAAGAGCGGCGUUCACCUCCACUGUAGAAUUUUGCACCGUAUCGAAUUGUUGCUCACCAUUCGACUAUUCGAUGCUUGAGAACUUUUUAGGAUAAAAACUUCACUGGUAUCGUGUAUGGUGAGCAAAAAUUAGAAACAGAGCAGCGUUUUACAGUGAAGGUGGGUGGUUUUUACCGAACCUUCUGCUGGACUCAAAUUAUUUCCACUGACUGUCGACAUUCGCUUGAAAUGGAAAGCGAAGAGGGCAGAGUUGGCAAGAACAGUGAAUCAGGAGCAACGGUCCUUACCAUGUUGGCUUAACUAUGGUCAUCACAUAAAUCGGAUCUUGGAAGCUGCUCCGGCGACGGGUUCUAACCGUUAACUGACGAUUGGUGGUUUUUACGGACCCGCGAAUGAUUUUCAUUUUAUCUCGACGAUUGACAACAGUGGACAGGACGACAUCGUUAGAUGAAGUACAUUGAGCGACGAUGGUAGGAGCUUGGAAGACAGACGCGCCGGCUUCAAAUGAUUUCGUCGCGUGAUUGCUUGGCACAUGGCAAUACUUUCAAGACAAUCGAACAAUUUUCUAACGGAUGCAGGUACGUUUGCCGCGGCAAGCGUGGUUCUUUUCUCAUCGAGAACUUUGGUGAUAAACGAAGGAACAGCUAGACCACACCGCUGAUCGGAGCGGGUCUCGGUGGCUCCUCUCACCCCCAACGAGUCACUAGUCAUGUGUGCUUGAUGGCGGGAUGAGGUGCGACUAGAGUCUACUGCCGAAUUUCGACAUCUGAUGCCAGUUUCUAGGCUACCGUUUCGUAAAAUACUGGUGGCGUCGCGGCAAGAGCGGCGUUCACCUCCACUGUAGAAUUUUGCACCGUAUCGAAUUGUUGCUCACCAUUCGACUAUUCGAUGCUUGAGAACUUUUUAGGAUAAAAACUUCACUGGUAUCGUGUAUGGUGAGCAAAAAUCAGAAACAGAGCAGCGUUUUACAGUGAAGGUGGGUGGUUUUUACCGAACCUUCUGCUGGACUCAAAUUAUUUCCACUGACUGUCGACAUUCGCUUGAAAUGGAAAGCGAAGAGGGCAGCGUUGGCAAGAACAGUGAAUCAGGAGCAACGGUCCUUACCAUGUUGGCUUAACUAUGGUCAUCACAUAAAUCGGAUCUUGGAAGCUGCUCCGGCGACGGGUUCUAACCGUUAACUGACGAUUGGUGGUUUUUAAGGACCCGCGAAUGAUUUUCAUUUUAUCUCGACGAUUGACAACAGUGGACAGGACGACAUCGUUAGAUGAAGUACAUUGAGCGACGAUGGUAGGAGCUUGGAAGACAGACGCGCCGGCUUCAAAUGAUUUCGUCGCGUGAUUGCUUGGCACAUGGCAAUACUUUCAAGACAAUCGAACAAUUUUCUAACGGAUGCAGGUACGUUUGCCGCGGCAAGCGUGGUUCUUUUCUCAUCGAGAACUUUGGUGAUAAACGAAGGAACAGCUAGACCACACCGCUGAUCGGAGCGGGACUCGGUGGCUCUUCUCACCCCCAACGAGUCACUAGUCAUGUGUGGUUGAUGGCGGGAUGAGGUGCGACUAGAGUCUACUGCCGAAUAUCGACAUCUGAUGCCAGUUUCUAGGCUACCGUUUCGUAAAAUACUGGUGGCGUCGCGGCAAGAGCGGCGUUCACCUCCACUGUAGAAUUUUUCACCGUAUCGAAUUGUUGCUCACCAUUCGACUAUUCGAUGCUUGAGAACUUUUUAGGAUAAAAACUUCACUGGUAUCGUGUAUGGUGAGCAAAAAUUAGAAACAGAGCAGCGUUUUACAGUGAAGGUGGGUGGUUUUUACCGAACCUUCUGCUGUACCCAAAUUAUUUCCACUGACUGUCGACAUUCGCUUGAAAUGGAAAGCGAAGAGGGCAGCGUUGGCAAGAACAGUGAAUCAGAAGCAACGGUCCUUACCAUGUUGGCUUAACUAUGGUCAUCAAAUAAAUCGGAGCUUGGAAGCUGCUCCGGCGACGGGUUCUAACCGUUAACUGACGAUUGGUGGUUUUUACGGACCCGCGAAUGAUUUUCAUUUUAUCUCGACGAUUGACAUCAGUGGACAGGACGACAUCGUUAGACGAAGUACAUUGAGCGACGAUGGUAGGAGCUUGGAAGACAGACGCGCCGGCUUCAAAUGAUUUCGUCGCGUGAUUGCUUGGCACAUGGCAAUACUUUCAAGACAAUCGAACAAUUUUCUAACGGAUGCAGGUACGUUUGCCGCGGCAAGCGUGGUUCUUUUCUCAUCGAGAACUUUGGUGAUAAACGAAGGAACAGCUAGACCACACCGCUGAUCGGAGCGGGACUCGGUGGCUCUUCUCACCCCCAACGAGUCACUAGUCAUGUGUGGUUGAUGGCGGGAUGAGGUGCGACUAGAGUCUACUGCCGAAUAUCGACAUCUGAUGCCAGUUUCUAGGCUACCGUUUCGUAAAAUACUGGUGGCGUCGCGGCAAGAGCGGCGUUCACCUCCACUGUAGAAUUUUGCACCGUAUCGAAUUGUUGCUCACCAUUCGACUAUUCGAUGCUUGAGAACUUUUUAGGAUAAAAACUUCACUGGUAUCGUGUAUGGUGAGCAAAAAUUAGAAACAGAGCAGCGUUUUACAGUGAAGGUGGGUGGUUUUUACCGAACCUUCUGCUGUACCCAAAUUAUUUCCACUGACUGUCGACAUUCGCUUGAAAUGGAAAGCGAAGAGGGCAGCGUUGGCAAGAACAGUGAAUCAGAAGCAACGGUCCUUACCAUGUUGGCUUAACUAUGGUCAUCAAAUAAAUCGGAGCUUGGAAGCUGCUCCGGCGACGGGUUCUAACCGUUAACUGACGAUUGGUGGUUUUUACGGACCCGCGAAUGAUUUUCAUUUUAUCUCGACGAUUGACAUCAGUGGACAGGACGACAUCGUUAGAUGAAGUACAUUGAGCGACGAUGGUAGGAGCUUGGAAGACAGACGCGCCGGCUUCAAAUGAUUUCGUCGCGUGAUUGCUUGGCACAUGGCAAUACUUUCAAGACAAUCGAACAAUUUUCUAACGGAUGCAGGUACGUUUGCCGCGGCAAGCGUGGUUCUUUUCUCAUCGAGAACUUUGGUGAUAAACGAAGGAACAGCUAGACCACACCGCUGAUCGGAGCGGGACUCGGUGGCUCUUCUCACCCCCAACGAGUCACUAGUCAUGUGUGGUUGAUGGCGGGAUGAGGUGCGACUAGAGUCUACUGCCGAAUAUCGACAUCUGAUGCCAGUUUCUAGGCUACCGUUUCGUAAAAUACUGGUGGCGUCGCGGCAAGAGCGGCGUUCACCUCCACUGUAGAAUUUUGCACCGUAUCGAAUUGUUGCUCACCAUUCGACUAUUCGAUGCUUGAGAACUUUUUAGGAUAAAAACUUCACUGGUAUCGUGUAUGGUGAGCAAAAAUUAGAAACAGAGCAGCGUUUUACAGUGAAGGUGGGUGGUUUUUACCGAACCUUCUGCUGUACCCAAAUUAUUUCCACUGACUGUCGACAUUCGCUUGAAAUGGAAAGCGAAGAGGGCAGCGUCGGCAAGAACAGUGAAUCAGGAGCAACGGUCCUUACCAUGUUGGCUUAACUAUGGUCAUCAAAUAAAUCGGAGCUUGGAAGCUGCUCCGGCGACGUGUUCUAACCGUUAACUGACGAUUGGUGAUUUUUACGGACCCGCGAAUGAUUUUCAUUUUAUCUCGACGAUUGACAACAGUGGACAGGACGACAUCGUUAGAUGAAGUACAUUGAGCGACGAUGGUAGGAGCUUGGAAGACAGACGCGCCGGCUUCAAAUGAUUUCGUCGCGUGAUUGCUUGGCACAUGGCAAUACUUUCAAGACAAUCGAACAAUUAUCUAACGGAUGCAGGUACGUUUGCCGCGGCAAGCGUGGUUCUUUUCUCAUCGAGAACUUUGGUGAUAAACGAAGGAACAGCUAGACCACACCGCUGAUCGGAGCGGGACUCGGUGGCUCUUCUCACCCCCAACGAGUCACUAGUCAUGUGUGGUUGAUGGCGGGAUGAGGUGCGACUAGAGUCUACUGCCGAAUAUCGACAUCUGAUGCCAGUUUCUAGGCUACCGUUUCGUAAAAUACUGGUGGCGUCGCGGCAAGAGCGGCGUUCACCUCCACUGUAGAAUUUUGCACCGUAUCGAAUUGUUGCUCACCAUUCGACUAUUCGAUGCUUGAGAACUUUUUAGGAUAAAAACUUCACUGGUAUCGUGUAUGGUGAGCAAAAAUUAGAAACAGAGCAGCGUUUUACAGUGAAGGUGGGUGGUUUUUACCGAACCUUCUGCUGUACCCAAAUUAUUUCCACUGACUGUCGACAUUCGCUUGAAAUGGAAAGCGAAGAGGGCAGCGUCGGCAAGAACAGUGAAUCAGGAGCAACGGUCCUUACCAUGUUGGCUUAACUAUGGUCAUCAAAUAAAUCGGAGCUUGGAAGCUGCUCCGGCGACGGGUUCUAACCGUUAACUGACGAUUGGUGGUUUUUACGGACCCGCGAAUGAUUUUCAUUUUAUCUCGACGAUUGACAUCAGUGGACAGGACGACAUCGUUAGAAGAAGUACAUUGAGCGACGAUGGUAGGAGCUUGGAAGACAGACGCGCCGGCUUCAAAUGAUUUCGUCGCGUGAUUGCUUGGCACAUGGCAAUACUUUCAAGACAAUCGAACAAUUUUCUAACGGAUGCAGGUACGUUUGCCGCGGCAAGCGUGGUUCUUUUCUCAUCGAGAACUUUGGUGAUAAACGAAGGAACAGCUAGACCACACCGCUGAUCGGAGCGGGACUCGGUGGCUCUUCUCACCCCCAACGAGUCACUAGUCAUGUGUGGUUGAUGGCGGGAUGAGGUGCGACUAGAGUCUACUGCCGAAUAUCGACAUCUGAUGCCAGUUUCUAGGCUACCGUUUCGUAAAAUACUGGUGGCGUCGCGGCAAGAGCGGCGUUCACCUCCACUGUAGAAUUUUGCACCGUAUCGAAUUGUUGCUCACCAUUCGACUAUUCGAUGCUUGAGAACUUUUUAGGAUAAAAACUUCACUGGUAUCGUGUAUGGUGAGCAAAACUUAGAAACAGAGCAGCGUUUUACAGUGAAGGUGGGUGGUUUUUACCGAACCUUCUGCUGUACCCAAAUUAUUUCCACUGACUGUCGACAUUCGCUUGAAAUGGAAAGCGAAGAGGGCAGCGUUGGCAAGAACACUGAAUCAGAAGCAACGGUCCUUACCAUGUUGGCUUAACUAUGGUCAUCAAAUAAAUCGGAGCUUGGAAGCUGCUCCGGCGACGGGUUCUAACCGUUAACUGACGAUUGGUGGUUUUUACGGACCCGCGAAUGAUUUUCAUUUUUACUCGACGAUUGACAACAGUGGACAGGACGACAUCGUUAGACGAAGUACAUUGAGCGACGAUGGUAGGAGCUUGGAAGACAGACGCGCCGGCUUCAAAUGAUUUCGUCGCGUGAUUGCUUGGCACAUGGCAAUACUUUCAAGACAAUCGAACAAUUUUCUAACGGAUGCAGGUACGUUUGCCGCGGCAAGCGUGGUUCUUUUCUCAUCGAGAACUUUGGUGAUAAACGAAGGAACAGCUAGACCACACCGCUGAUCGGAGCGGGACUCGGUGGCUCUUCUCACCCCCAACGAGUCACUAAUCAUGUGUGGUUGAUGGCGGGAUGAGGUGCGACUAGAGUCUACUGCCGAAUAUCGACAUCUGAUGCCAGUUUCUAGGCUACCGUUUCGUAAAAUACUGGUGGCGUCGCGGCAAGAGCGGCGUUCACCUCCACUGUAGAAUUUUGCACCGUAUCGAAUUGUUGCUCACCAUUCGACUAUUCGAUGCUUGAGAACUUUUUAGGAUAAAAACUUCACUGGUAUCGUGUAUGGUGAGCAAAAAUUAGAAACAGAGCAGCGUUUUACAGUGAAGGUGGGUGGUUUUUACCGAACCUUCUGCUGUACCCAAAUUAUUUCCACUGACUGUCGACAUUCGCUUGAAAUGGAAAGCGAAGAGGGCAGCGUCGGCAAGAACAGUGAAUCAGAAGCAACGGUCCUUACCAUGUUGGCUUAACUAUGGUCAUCAAAUAAAUCGGAGCUUGGAAGCUGCUCCGGCGACGGGUUCUAACCGUUAACUGACGAUUGGUGGUUUUUACGGACCCGCGAAUGAUUUUCAUUUUAUCUCGACGAUUGACAUCAGUGGACAGGACGACAUCGUUAGAUGAAGUACAUUGAGCGACGAUGGUAGGAGCUUGGAAGACAGACGCGCCGGCUUCAAAUGAUUUCGUCGCGUGAUUGCUUGGCACAUGGCAAUACUUUCAAGACAAUCGAACAAUUUUCUAACGGAUGCAGGUACGUUUGCCGCGGCAAGCGUGGUUCUUUUCUCAUCGAGAACUUUGGUGAUAAACGAAGGAACAGCUAGACCACACCGCUGAUCGGAGCGGGACUCGGUGGCUCUUCUCACCCCCAACGAGUCACUAGUCAUGUGUGGUUGAUGGCGGGAUGAGGUGCGACUAGAGUCUACUGCCGAAUAUCGACAUCUGAUGCCAGUUUCUAGGCUACCGUUUCGUAAAAUACUGGUGGCGUCGCGGCAAGAGCGGCAUUCACCUCCACUGUAGAAUUUUGCACCGUAUCGAAUUGUUGCUCACCAUUCGACUAUUCGAUGCUUGAGAACUUUUUAGGAUAAAAACUUCACUGGUAUCGUGUAUGGUGAGCAAAAAUUAGAAACAGAGCAGCGUUUUACAGUGAAGGAGGGUGGUUUUUACCGAACCUUCUGCUGUACC